rnacentral:rRNA from 1 species
GUGACGAGCGGCGGACGGGUGAGUAAUGUCUGGGAAACUGCCUGAUGGAGGGGGAUAACUACUGGAAACGGUAGCUAAUACCGCAUAACGUCGCAAGACCAAAGAGGGGGACCUUCGGGCCUCUUGCCAUCAGAUGUGCCCAGAUGGGAUUAGCUAGUAGGUGGGGUAACGGCUCACCUAGGCGACGAUCCCUAGCUGGUCGGAGAGGAUGACCAGCCACACUGGAACUGAGACACGGUCCAGACUCCUACGGGAGGCAGCAGUGGGGAAUAUUGCACAAUGGGCGCAAGCCUGAUGCAGCCAUGCCGCGUGUAUGAAGAAGGCCUUCGGGUUGUAAAGUACUUUCAGCGAGGAGGAAGGCAUUGUGGUUAAUAACCACAGUGAUUGACGUUACUCGCAGAAGAAGCACCGGCUAACUCCGUGCCAGCAGCCGCGGUAAUACGGAGGGUGCAAGCGUUAAUCGGAAUUACUGGGCGUAAAGCGCACGCAGGCGGUCUGUCAAGUCGGAUGUGAAAUCCCCGGGCUCAACCUGGGAACUGCAUUCGAAACUGGCAGGCUAAAGUCUUGUAAAGGGGGGUAGAAUUCCAGGUGUAGCGGUG